AAAAAAACUUUUGGAACUUCGAUCGAAAUAAAGAAUUAAAGUGUUAGCUAUUUAAAAUUAUAGCUAAUGUGAGGAUGGCGGCUUAUUUUGUUCGCUGUAAUAUAAACGAGUACCGCAGCGCGACGCGGCGCUCGCGGCGGCUAACUGCGGUGCAGGCCCGGCGGCCCAUGCAGCUGCCACCAAUACCCCUGCCGUGGGAUUGGCACCCUCGCAAGGCAUCAGCGCCUUUAAAAAUACCGGUGCACUCCUGGUGGAGGCACCCAAAUUUGAUUUACGGUCGGCGCGGUUGUGAUUAAAGUAAAAUAAACGAGUCCGCAGAGCGACGCGGCGCUCGCGGCGACUAACUGCGGUGUAGGCUCGGCAGCCCAUGCAGCUGCCACCAAUACCCCUGCAGUGGGAUUGGCCCCCUGGCAAGGCGCCAGCGCCUUUAAAAAUACCGGUGCACUCCUGGUGGAGGCACCCAAAUUUGAUUUACGGUCGGCGCGGUUGUGAUUAAAGGUAUUCAUUUAUAUAUACUAUGAACUGUAACAUAUGUUGUUUAAUUUACCAAAUAGGUACUUAUUAUAUGUAUAC